AACGAACGCUGGCGGCAGGCCUAACACAUGCAAGUCGAACGAACCUUUUAGGUGAGUGGCGCACGGGUGCGUAACACGUGGGAAUAUACACUUCGGUAAGGAAUAACGUAGAGAAAUUUGCGCUAAUACCUUAUAAUGACUCCGGUCCAAAGAUUUAUCGCCGAGGGAUUAGCCCGCGCUAGAUUAGUUUGUUGGUGAGGUAAAAGCUCACCAAGACGACGAUCUAUAGCUGGUCUUAGAGGAUGAUCAGCCACACUGGAACUGAGACACGGUCCAGACUCCUACGGGAGGCAGCAGUGAGGAAUAUUGCGCAAUGGAGGAAACUCUGACGCAGCCAUGCCGCGUGAGUGAAGAAGGCCCUAGGGUUGUAAAGCUCUUUCAGAUACGAAUAUAAUGAAGGUACUAUCAGAAGAAGCUCCGGCUAAAUUCG
rnacentral:rRNA from 1 species